rnacentral:rRNA from 1 species
UACGUAGGGCGCAAGCGUUGUCCGGAAUUAUUGGGCGUAAAGGGCUCGUAGGCGGAUCCGCCAGUCUGACGUGAAAUCUCCACCGCUCACCGGGGAGGGGCCGUUGGAUACUACGGAUCUGGAGUUCGGCAGAGGACCAUGGAAUUUCGGGUGUAGCGGUGGAAUGCGUAGAUAUCCGAAAGAACACCGGUGGCGAAGGCGGUGGUCUGGGCCUGAACUGACGCUGAGGAGCGAAAGCCAGGGGAGCAAACGGG